CUCCAGUUAGCCUAGUGGUUAAGGCUAUGGAUCGACAAUCCGAAGACGAUGGGUUCGAUUCCCGUUCCGGGCG
rnacentral:tRNA from 1 species